GGAUUAUAGGUCUAAUUUCUGUAGUAUCGGUCACUGCCUUAAUAGCCGUGACAGUUGUUUUGAUUUGUCGAAGAAGAAGAACUCCAGGAUUAGUGUUUCAGAGGUCAGAAAUCCCGCACACACGACUGGUCAACACAACUUCUUCCGAGCCUUCUCCAAUGAGCUUUGACCCUCCGCCUCCCUAUCCUACAAACGAAACAAUGGCCACAGAAUACCAAUUUAUCGUUCCUGUCAUUGUGAAUACACGAUAGAAUAUUUUGAAAAAUAUGUGAAGAUUAUAAUUUUAAAGAGCAACCAUUAUUGUUAUAUUUGCUUUAUCUACUGUUUUAUUUAAAAUAUCAUACAACAUUGAGGUCGUGCAUAAGAAAUACCAUCAUAAGCAUGAAACUCUUUAAAUAUUCAUGUAUAUGUUGCUGAAAAUAUUUUAACAUUAGCAACAUUGAGUUACGCAAAGUAAUGUUUGUCGCAUGUCAUGGCCAUAUUAAAUAAUAUUGUUCCUCGUAUAAUUUAAUGCAUUUCAAUAAUAAAUUUUGUUAUUGUU